ensembl:lincRNA
GCGCAGGAGGCCGCCCGCGCCCGCGUCCGGGGCCGAGCCGCCGAGUCCUUCGCCCUUAAGCUGCCGGUUCCUGGGCUGGGGGAAAAUGUCAAGAAGCAGCCUCUAUUUCAACUCUCUAAGGUUGUGAGAUACCAGACUCUGAAUUAAUCUCAUGGAGGAGAAAACCAAGCAAGGUGGCCUGAAAGUAUUUGCCCUGCUGAGCAUCAGGAGAAAAUUUGAAGCUACAGUCGCCAGGGAGAGGAGACAGUUUGGAUGUUCCUGGCUCUUUCUCCUUCAGUCUACAUUCCAAGUUCCUCGGCUCUGUCUAAACCACACAGAAGUCAAAAGAGUGACCCAGCCUAUUCAGAACUCAUUGAACUAAGAGGAAAGCCAUGGUUAAGAUAUUCUAUGUGGUAUAUGUAAGCCAUGGCAUUUUUACUGUUUUACUGUUUCAGUUAAAGUAAUUUAAAGAAAAAAAUUACCUUUGUACUACAUUUAGGAGGACAAAUUAAUUAUGACAUGCUUAGAAACCAUUAAUAUGUGUGGAUUCCUAUCAAGUAAUUAUUCAAACCCACACAUUCACAAAAAAAGAGAAAGAAAUAGAUUCUCGCUAGAAAUUUACAUAUACAAAUUUGAAAAGUUCAUUUCUAAACUGCUAUGAUUUAUUACACCCACAUCUUGAUCAUUUGAAUUAUGUAUUAAACACAUACUUUAAAAAUACUUGUUAUUAUGAUAUGCUUUACACAACAAUGUGUUAUAUUUCUUGCUGGGAAUUCAUUAUUAAUAUAUAUUUAUAGGACACAUUCAAAUGUAUCGAGAAAUGUAGAUACAUUUAUUGGUAACAAGUGAAAUUAAUGAAGCAUCUGUGAAUGAGAUUUUAAUUUACUGUUACCUGAAACUUAAUAAAACUUUAAAGCCUGAUUUUUAAAUUCAUCAAGUUGCCAAAAUAUGAGUUUUUUUUUUUUUCCUAAGGAUAGAAGAGAAGGAAAAUUAGCAUGUUUCUACUUUCCUCCUAGCACAGAGCGCAGUUUACUAAAGACUUCAAUAAGAAUAUGACAUUGUAGUGACCUGCAAAAUAAAAGCAAUCAGAAUCUAGCCUAGGCAACCUACCAGCAAAAUUAUAUAUAUAUAUCUAUAUAUACACAUAUGAAAUUAUAUAUAUAUAUAUAGCUACACACACGCAUAUGAAAUUGAGUAUAAUAGCUUUAAGUCAGCACACAGAGGUGAGACAAAAGAGAUUACCAGAGAAUAAGAACACAGAGCACAAAGAAUGUUAAUUACAGUAUUAUUUAAAAUAGCGUAUUAUAAAAUCUCAAUGAAUCCUAAUGAAUCAGAGGAUUUAUUUGAGCCUAACAACGGCUAAAUACUUCUUUAAAUGAAAUCAAGAGACAUUAGAAAAAGCCAAAAAAAAAAAAAAGGACUUAAAGGGUCCACCUUGAGCUUAAAAUGGGAACAAAGAAACAUUGCACAUAAGGUCAGUGGAGAACUUGAAAAUUCAUUAUGAUUUCACCAACAUAUUUAACUCACUGAUUCUUCUUUGCUUCACAGUCAAGUAUUUAGACUCCACCCUUGGCAAUGUUUUCUCAGCCACUAGCUCUGCCUGCUGUUAUUAUUUCCUUUUCCACCAUGUAGAAAUGGAGACUUAAUAAAAGCAUAUUUUAUUUCUUAUCUGCUAUUUUGUGGGUCUUGCCCUGAUAAUCAUUACCUGUCUUUAUUACAGAAAAAAAUUCUUUUUUAAAAGGCAUGCAUGUUGAAUGACCAUAUUUAUGCGCUGGCUGUUCCAUAAGUGAUAGCAAACUUCCCUUUAGCUACUCCAGCUCUUCUCAGUGGGCUGGGGACAAG